rnacentral:rRNA from 1 species
AACGAACGCUGGCGGCAGGCUUAACACAUGCAAGUCGAGCGCCCCGCAAGGGGAGCGGCAGACGGGUGAGUAACACGUGGGGAUCUGCCCAAUGGUACGGAAUAGCUCCGGGAAACUGGAAAUAAUACCGUAUGUGCCCGCAAGGGGAAAGAUUUAUCGCCAUUGGAUGAACCCGCGUCGGAUUAGCUAGUUGGUGUGGUAAAGGCGCACCAAGGCGACGAUCCGUAGCUGGUCUGAGAGGAUGAUCAGCCACACUGGGACUGAGACACGGCCCAGACUCCUACGGGAGGCAGCAGUGGGGAAUAUUGGACAAUGGGCGCAAGCCUGAUCCAGCCGUGCCGCGUGAGUGAUGAAGGCCUUAGGGUUGUAAAGCUCUUUCGCCGACGAAGAUAAUGACGGUAGUCGGAGAAGAAGCCCCGGCUAACUUCGUGCCAGCCGCCGCUGUAAGAC